rnacentral:rRNA from 1 species
UAAGACGAAGGUGGCGAGCGUUACUCGGAAUUACUAGGUGUAAAGCGUGGGCAGGUGGUUUGGUAAGUCUGCUGUGAAAGCUCCUGGCUUAACUGGGAGAGGCCAGUGGAUACUGCCAGGCUUGAAUAUGGGAGAGGUGACUGGAAUUCCUGGUGUAGCGGUGAAAUGCGUAGAGAUCAGGAGGAACAUCGAUGGCGAAAGCAGGUCACUGGACCAUUAUUGACACUCAUCCACGAAAGCUGGGGGAUCAAACAGGAUUAGAUACCCUGGUAGUCCCAGCCGUAAACGAUGCUCAUUAGGUGUGGGAGGUAUCGACCCCUUCCGCGCCGACGCUAACGCAUUAAAUGAGCCACCUGGGGAGUACGGCCGCAAGGUUG